rnacentral:rRNA from 1 species
UGGGGAAUUUUGGACAAUGGGCGCAAGCCUGAUCCAGCCAUGCCGCGUGCGGGAAGAAGGCCUUCGGGUUGUAAACCGCUUUUGUCAGGGAAGAAAUCUUCUGAGUUAAUACCUCGGGAGGAUGACGGUACCUGAAGAAUAAGCACCGGCUAACUACGUGCCAGCAGCCGCGGUAAUACGUAGGGUGCAAGCGUUAAUCGGAAUUACUGGGCGUAAAGCGUGCGCAGGCGGUUUUGUAAGACAGAGGUGAAAUCCCCGGGCUCAACCUGGGAACUGCCUUUGUGACUGCAAGGCUUGAGUGCGGCAGAGGGGGGAUGGAAUUCCGCGUGUAGCAGUGAAAUGCGUAGAUAUGCGGAGGAACACCGAUGGCGAAGGCAAUCCCCUGGGCCUGCACUGACGCUCAUGCACGAAGGCGUGGGGAGCAAACAGGAUUAGAUACCCUGGUAGUCCACGCCCUAAACGAUGUCAACUGGUUGUUGGGAAGGUUCCUUCUCAGUAACGUAGCUAACGCGUGAGGUUGACCGCCUGGGGAGUACGGCCGC